GACGAACGCUGGCGGCGUGCUUAACACAUGCAAGUCGAACGGAAAGGCCCUGCUUUUGUGGGGUGCUCGAGUGGCGAACGGGUGAGUAACACGUGAGUAACCUGCCCUUGACUUUGGGAUAACUUCAGGAAACUGGGGCUGAUACCGGAUAGGAGCUCCUGCUGCAUGGUGGGGGUUGGAAAGUUUCGGCGGUUGGGGAUGGACUCGCGGCCUAUCAGCUUGUUGGUGGGGUAGUGGCUUACCAAGGCUUUGACGGGUAGCCGGCCUGAGAGGGUGACCGGCCACAUUGGGACUGAGGUACGGCCCAGACUCCUACGGGAGGCAGCAGUGGGGAAUAUUGCACAAUGGGCGGAAGCCUGAUGCAGCAACGCCGCGUGCGGGAUGACGGCCUUCGGGUUGUAAACCGCUUUCGCCUGUGACGAAGCGUGAGUGACGGUAAUGGGUAAAGAAGCACCGGCUAACUACGUG
rnacentral:rRNA from 1 species